GGUAGCGUGGCUGAGUGAUCUAAGGUGCUGGAUUAAGGCUCCAGUCUUUGCGAGGAUGUGGGUUCGAAUCCCUCUGCUGCCA
rnacentral:tRNA from 1 species